CCUACGCGCGGCAGCAGUGGGGGAUAUUGCACAAUGGGGGAAAGCCUGAUGCAGCGACGCCGCGUGUGCGAAGAAGUAUUUCGGUAUGUAAAGCACUAUCAGCAGGGAAGAAGAAAUGGCGGUACCUGAGUAAGACGCACCGGCUAAAUACGUGCCAGCAGCCGCGGUAAUACGUAUGGUGCAAGCGUUAUCCGGCUUUACUGGGUGUAAAGGGAGCGCAGGCGGCCCGGCAAGUCCGAUGUGAAAGCCCCGGGCCCAACCGGGGGACUGCAUUGGGUACUAGCGGGCUGGAGUGCCGGAGAGGUGGGCAGAAUUCCUGGUGUAGCGGUGAAAUGCGUAGAGAUUAGGAGGAACACCAGUGGCGAAGGCGGCCCACUGGACGGAGACUGACGCUGAGGUGCGAAAGCGUGGGGAGCAAACAGGAUUAGAUACCCCUGUAGUC
rnacentral:rRNA from 1 species